rnacentral:sRNA from 2 species
AGCCCUGAUUGCUUGUUUUCUUCAACCUUCCGCAUAUUUUCUUUAUUUUUCCGAGGUAUAAAAUGUCUCGUGAGCUGCAUCGCUGAGCCGCAGAAGAUAUCUGACGAAAAGCAACUGCUUGAAAGCUUUGAUCGCGGAAAAUUAAAGAUUAAAAAGGGGAUAAACAAAUGCCUCCAAGAACGUGUGCCGCUGCAGGGUUGUUAGAUACACCUGCAAGCAACAUGAAUGAACAUGAAUACGACCAGGAUACUCAUACUAUUAUAUCUAGAGGGGCUGAAAUGGGAUCUCAAAUGGGAGGUCAAGUGAACGAUAAUACCAUGGUUCGGAUGAUGAUGGUGGAAUGAAUAUAUGGAAAGACAGGACAAACGAACGGAAAUACUUAUACAAAAUCCGGAGGGCAUCUCGAGCUCUCUAUCAACUCAGGAUCCUAUUAGGGGAUAUGAUUUGAUGAAUUUCGAAAGGUCGCGAAGGCCAAGCUGGAAGGAAAGCAGGCAGCCAUCUUGAAUGGAAUCAACUACUUGAAAUGGAAGAGCUCUAUUCUCGUGGAUGCCCACUUUAUCCAGGCAAGUCCUUUUUCAGGGCCAUUAGGCGGAAGUCCUCCUUUCGAGUGCAGCAACGUCUUUUCCUGUCCAGACCUUCGACCUUCCAUUCAUUGCAAUCUUUUUCUGUGUCGGCCGUGGCGGUCGUCUCACCUGCG